GACGAACGCUGGCGGCGUGCUUAACACAUGCAAGUCGAACGGAAAGGCCCGGCUCUUGUGGGUUGCUCGUGUGCCGAACGCGUGAGUAACACGUGUGUAACCUCCCCUUAACUUUGUGAUAACUUUAGGAAACUCGGGCUAAUACCGGAUAUGAUCUCCUGCUGCAUGUUGGUGGUUGGAAAGUUUCGGCGGUGGUGGCUGGACUCGCGGCUUAUCAGCUUGAUGGUCGGGUAGGUGAUUUCCAAGCCUUUGAGGGGUAGGCGGCCUGGGAGGGUUAACAGCCACAUUAGGACUAAGAUACGGCGCAGAAGCCUACGGGACGCAGUAGGGGGGAAUAUUGCAGAAUGAGCGGAAGCGUGAUGCAGCAACGCCGGGAGCGGGAAGACGUCCUUUGAGUUAAGAACAGAUGUGGAAUGUGACGAGGAGUGAGUGACGGUAAUGGGUCAAGAAGCACCGGCUAACUACGUG
rnacentral:rRNA from 1 species